GAAUAGCUGAAAGCAUUUCCUUACUGGUGCCCGCUGCAUGCCACACACAGUUUUCUAGUUCUUAUUUACUGUGUUAGGACGUGACCGCUUCUGGACAUAGUGCAGAGGGGAUGGACAAACAGUCAGAGUAAGGGCAUUUGUGCAAUGUCAGUUUUCCAGUAGAGAUGUGAAGAUAUUAGCUCUGUGUGUGGAUAUGAAAUACAUUAUUGCCUGGAGCCUCUUAAAAGCGGCCAAUUUAUUUAUAUUCUUCAUGGGUUAGAUGUCUAUUGCUGGGAUUUAUGGCAAACAUCUGAUCUAAAGGUAGUUGUAGGCUUGACAACAAAAGUGAUAAAGAAGCUGUGGAGGGCAAUGAAAAUUGAUGGGGAAAGAGAGUGAUGAACAGCAAAAGUGCCAUUAUGGUCAAGUGAUAAGGUAGAAGGUGGAAGGGAAAGAGAAAUGGGCUGUUUGCAGUAAUUUGGGUACCUUCACACUGCCUUGUUCAGUUGUCUGUGAACAUUGCUUGCUUUAUUUACUGUUGCAGUUCUUGGUAAUGUCACUGCAGUUGAGUUAAGCAUCUUACAUUUACGUGCUCGUGGCUUUUUGUUUGGGAGAUGGAAUUUCUACUGUUUUUCUGACUUUCCCAAGGAGAAAAGAAAAAUAUCUGCACUGUAAACAAAGCAGGGCUGCUAUCAGAGUGGUACUGUAACUGCUAGGGUAAAGAGCUAAAAAUUGAUGCUGGUCUUUAACUGCAGAAAUACUCUUGCUUUAUUAAACAGGGCGAACGUGCAAAAGGGAUCUCUUUUUUAUGGACAGAAGAGGGAAACAGUUUUUCAAGGAAACACAAAUUGCAGCUGUUCCUUAAGGUGUCUGAUCUCUCCUCUCGAGAAGCCAAUUUCUUUUUUAAUUUCCUCUGAUGAGCCUCAGAAGAUGCUGGAUAAAAUACGAGGCAAGUUCCCUUAUAUAUUUAUUUCUUUUCGAGGCAGGGCUCUGCCUAAGAGGCAUUGUGCUUUGUCUGGUUGCUGCCAAAGAAAGUGCUCAUCUCCCAAAGUAUUCUUGAUGGAAGUGCUGUCACUGAGGGGCAAAGGAAAGCAGGCCCUGGCUCUGGCCAGGCUGAAAAAAAUGUAAUCAGUAAAAUGGGGAGGGUUAAUCAAAGGAAGGGCAUGACUUGAAGCUAACCAAAGAGUUUGAAAGGGAAAGAAAUAGUAAAGAGCUGCAGAGAUUCUUGCCAGUGUGCUUAUUGCGCUGUGCUAACCUGCGGUUAG
rnacentral:lncRNA from 1 species